GCAAAAUCCUCGGACCAGAUCACGACUAAGUGCGGAUGUUGGGCUGGGGGAGCGACAUUGUUAUUGCCACAUGCGGCGGAUGCCACGUGACACCAGCACAAACAGUUGGCGCAGUCGUCAAAUAAGUUACACAUGUCAUGCGGACCGCCGAAAGCCGCCACAGAAAUGUCAAACAAAAGUCAGAGGAAAUGCUAAAUUCGGAGGAAAGUUUACAAUAACACGGCCCCCAAUCCCUGACCCCAUUUGGCGUCGUGGCCCAGGAUUUAGUCGAUGUAGUUGGCUGGCAGGCGAGAUCAAAGCCGCUGACUAAGGGGGCCAAUUAUCGGGUCGCGAUGCCAUUCUGGCCCGAAACAGUCCCACAAUAGCCGCCCAUUGUUCAUUGUGCGCCGCAUUACAAAGGCAUUUGGGAGCCGCUCUAAGCGGUGAUAAUAUUUUAAGGGGCAACUGCCAUCGCAAUCGCCGCAUAGAUGCAGUGAGAGCGCAGGGAAAUGCUCCCUUUUCACAUUUUAGCUCCGCAAUUGCAGCCAUUAUCAGUCAACUUGAACAACUGCAGCGUGGAUGCAAAUCCAGGCCAGAGAUACGCACUCUCUCCAGACCGAGUAGCUAAGAGAUAUUCACUCCGCAUCCAUGCCAGAGAUAUUCACGAUCGUGUAAUUGCUUUCAAAUGCCUUCCACGCAACAAGUGCAUUCUGUUGUACAAUUUGUACACUUAAGAAACACAAAUGGAGUUUUUAAAAAAAGGGGACACAAGUUAAAUGAAAAAUUUAUUGCAGUCUCAGUAUUUUACAUGACUUUAUCGUCAAAAUAUUAUUCUAAACCUUGAAUAAAUAAGGGUAACAACAAGUGUUUCCUACAUCCGCAUUGGGUUUUUCCCACUGUGUAAGAUGUUGCAAUGACCAUCGUAAAUAAAGCGCCUGGUAAUUAGCCGAAAGAACAACAUUAUCAACGGCACUUACUCCACAAGUGCGUGCACUUAGCCGCCAAACUCAAGACCGAAAACAAAUUAUGGCUCAUUUCAUGCCUGAAAAAAGGAAUCCCAAGCUAAGCAAAAAAUUUCACACCUGAGCAUUGAGCAUUGAGACUGACGUUGGAUUUGUUUACAUGACUCAUCCGCGAGGUCGAGUAACUAGAAUCCCCCACUGCAAAGUCCGCCCACUUGUAGCGAGGAGCGAUUCCUCCGGCCUUUCCCAUGCCAAUUGAUCAAGGCGAGUUCCGCAGAGGAGCGCUCAUCGAAAAGCGAGGCAUGCAAUAUGGGAGCUGCCACCAUGAGGAUGCCGCAUAGCUGCCUCCGCCACUCCCGCGGCCCUUUGAUGAAGAUGGAAUGCCCAUGGCCCCCGGUUCGCCAGCUGCAACCGUUUGACUUCUGCUGGCCCCUUUCGCUUUUUAUGGUGAUUGUGGAGAACGAACGAGAGGAAUUCGCUGUUGCAGGCAGCCAACUGAUUUAAUUGCAGCCAACUGAAAGUGCGGAUAAAGGCACCCCGCCUACACGGAAAAAAACGCAGGGCAGUAUACACAUCUCUUAAAGUAGACAAAUGAUUUAAGCUCAUUUGUAUCUGCAGCAGAUCAAUCCAGGCAGUGGGUCCUAAUCAGCUUCGUUAGUGCGUUUUAUUCGGCCGCAGAGUAGCAGGCAGCAAUUACGCAACAGAUCCACCUCAUUAGUCGGAAGGAUACGUGCAGAUGUGUGACACCCGUUUGCUCAAAUACAAUUACAUAGUCAUACAAUUAUCGCAAGACAAACACAGACUAAUGCAAAACGCCAAAUUGUGGCUGAGGUGUGGCCAGGUAAAUGUUCAUGAUGCUGCUGCUGCUGCCGAAGCUCCGGCGAUGAUGGCUCUAUGAAGAUGCGGGCUUGGAGGGCGGGUGCAGCGACGACAUUUGUUGCAACGGAAGUAAAUGUUUGCAUUGUUGAAAUUUUAA